UAAGCGGAGGAAAAGAAACUAACUAGGAUUCCCUUAGUAACGGCGAGUGAACCGGGAUGAGCUCAAAUUUGAAAUCUGGCGUCUUUCAGGCGUCCGAGUUGUAAUCUAUAGAGGCGUUUUCCGCGCCGGACCGCGUCCAAGUCUCUUGGAAUAGAGUAUCAAAGAGGGUGACAAUCCCGUACUUGACGCGACAACCGGUGCUCUGUGAUACGUUCUCAACGAGUCGAGUUGUUUGGGAAUGCAGCUCUAAAUGGGUGGUAAAUUCCAUCUAAGGCUAAAUAUUGGCGAGAGACCGAUAGCGAACAAGUACCGUGAGGGAAAGAUGAAAAGCACUUUGGAAAGAGAGUUAAACAGCACGUGAAAUUGUUAAAAGGGAAACGAUUGAAGUCAGUCGUGUGAAAGGUAUUCAGCCGUCUCUGGCGGUGUAUUUGCCUUUCACGGGUCAACAUCAGUUUAGUCCGGUAGAAAAAGGCUGGAGGAAGGUGGCAUCUUCGGGUGUGUUAUAGCCUCCUGUCAUAUGUGCCGGAUUAGACUGAGGAACGCAGCUUGCAGCAAUGCCGGGGUUCGCCCACGUACAAGCUUAGGAUGUUGACAUAAUGGCUUUAAACGAC
rnacentral:rRNA from 3 species